AUGGAAGCUCUCCUCGCGGCGGCGGGCGCCGGCGACCUCGAAUCUCUGGAAAAUGCCAUUGCGGGGCUCGACAACGAGGCGAAACGCGCGGCCGCCGCUGCGCGGGACUCCGAAAGGCGUACGGCGCUCCAUUUCGCCGCCGCCGAGGGCCACACGGGGGUGUGCGCCUAUUUGGUCCAGACGCUUGGGGUUGACGUCAACCCUAGGGACCUCCAUGGUGAAACUCCGCUCUACAUAUCUAUCAAAAAUGGUCAUGUUGGAACAGCCAAUUUGUUGCUUACCAAUGGAGCAGACCCGCGUAUUAAAUCUCUGCUUGGAAUCACAACCCUUCACCAGGCCGCAAUUAGGGGAGAUCUAGAACUUGUGAUGAUUCUGCUCGAGAAUGGUGUAAAACUUAAUUCUCACUCUUAUACGAUGGGAACACCACUUGCCUGCGCUGUUAAAUCUGGUUCAUUUCCUUGCUUCGAUGCUUUAGUUAAGGUAGGUGCAGCCCCAGAGACUAUGAAAUACCCACUACAUGAUGCGGCAGAAUGUGGCAGUACUGAAAUAGUCAACUAUUUUCUUGAAGCUGGGUAUGAUCCAAAUAGCUGUAACGAAGCUGGUUUGAAACCAAUACAAAUCGCUGCAUCCAAGAAUAAUCUCGCAGUUGUGGAAGUCCUCUUUCCACUUACCACGCAAGUCUCAGAUUUUCCUAACUGGACUGUUCCUUGUAUAAUGGAGUAUGCAAUGCGCAAAAAUGAGGAAAUGGCGACAGAUCAAGCACAUAUAGAAGAAGCUGAUCCAUGGAGAUCCCAGUUUGUUAAGAGGGCUGCAAAGGAACUGUCAGAUAAGGAAAUUGAACAGGAACUUGGAAGACUGUUAGUGAAAAACGAGAAUGAAUUCUUCAAGGAGUGGUCACCAAUGAAAAGGAGGUUGUUCUAUGAGUCAACCUUGGUUAGACCCACCAGUGUCAAGCAAAUAUCUGACCAUGACGGUGCAAAAAUAAAGAACAGCGUCAUUUUUGAUUUGACAUACGACAACAGGGCCCAAAGCAGCUAUCUGAGAGCGAUCAGCCAUUAUCGAGCUUGGCAUUUUUCUGGUUCAGAUCUAAUAUAUGAAGUUGGUCCUGAACGGAAGAAAUUCUGCGUAUCAAGAAAGGACCAAACCUUCGUGUUCUGGUUUCGGUACUUUGAGCAAGAUGUAGGACUUGUGAUUGACGGACAGAGUGUGUGGGUAGAGGGUAUUCUAAGGAGAAGUCGUGCUGAAGAUGGCAAAUAUUCAUAUCGCCCAUCUAUCCAGUUCAAUGAUGCUCGCAAAGAGGGAAGCAGCAGCCACAAUCAACAGGCGCCACUUUCAGAUAAAAAUGCAACUCCAUACAUUGUUGAUACUGGCUUGAUACUGGCUGAUUAUGGAGGCACCUACGCAGGUGCUGUCUCCAAAAUGAAGGUAUCACUUCGCACGACUCGCACUGCAGUUGUUGCAGUUGCUGGUCAUGACAAAAAAGAGUCAUUACAUAAGAAUUGUCAUGUUGCGUGCGACAACCUUGUGUUGUUCGCAACAGAGGCUGGAAAAAAUCUUUGGGUAUUUCAAUAUACCAUGCAUUCCCUUGAUCCUAAGCUGCAAAUGCCGAUUUCUGUUCCUUCAAGCUUAGAUGGCACUGUCACCAAUCACGAGCAGGUAUCUAGAAGUGUCUUGUCAACGCUUGGAAAAGUAACAGGGAAAAAGAUAAAUGAUCUUGAUAGAGGUGGAUACAAUAUUGUCAAAGGUGCUGUAUUCAGGACAUUGUGGCAAUGCAUCAAUGCAUAUGUGAUCUUGCGUAGAAAAACUGUUUUCAAGACAAAGUUCUUUCUGAAGAGCAAGGACUCAGAGUACAGGACUCAAGUGAGAAACAAGCCACAGGGGCAACGCAAUGAAACUACUGAAGAAUUCAAAGAAAGGUUGCGUGAAGAGAGUUUGAGAACAGGAACUCUCUUUGAUGCUAAAUCCCAUGCUGGUGUCAACUGCUACAAAGAUCCACGUUGUUCUAUGCCGCCAAUACCAUCAAGGAAGAUGUGGUAUCAUUCAGAUGAGCUGUUUUACCAUUCUGAGUAUGGCUUGUCUGCAGGAAUAAGUGAAGCUUAG
rnacentral:rRNA from 1 species